rnacentral:tRNA from 1 species
GGAGAGAUGGCUCAGCAGUUAAGAGCACUGGCUGCUCUUCCAGAGGACCCGGGUUCAAUUCCCAGUAUAUACG